UGGGGAAUAUUGGACAAUGGGGGCAACCCUGAUCCAGCGAUGCCGCGUGUGCGAAGAAGGCCUGCGGGUUGUAAAGCACUUUGGUUGGGGAAGAAGGUUGGUAGUUGAAUAGGCUACUGAAUUGACGUUACCCAAAGAACAAGCACCGGCUAACUCUGUGCCAGCAGCCGCGGUAAUACAGAGGGUGCGAGCGUUAAUCGGAAUUACUGGGCGUAAAGGGUGCGUAGGCGGUUGUUUAAGUUAGAUGUGAAAUCCCCGGGCUUAACCUGGGAAUUGCAUUUAAGACUGGACGGCUAGAGUAGAGUAGAGGGAAGUGGAAUUUCCGGUGUAGCGGUGAAAUGCGUAGAGAUCGGAAGGAACAUCAGUGGCGAAGGCGGCCACCUGGACCGAUACUGACACUGAGGCGCGAAAGCGUGGGUAGCAAACAGGAUUAGAUACCCUCGUAGUCCCUGAGCGGGCUGGCAAGGCGCAU
rnacentral:rRNA from 1 species